rnacentral:rRNA from 1 species
UGCUAGACGAGUUUGAUCCUGGCUCAGAGCGAACGUUUGCGGCGGGCCUAACACAUGCAAGUCGAACGGGUUGGCAACAACCAGUGGCGCACGGGUGCGUAACACGUAGGUAAUCUACCCUCAAGUUCGGGAUAACGAUCUGAAAGGAUCGCUAAUACCGGAUGUGUUCCGAAAGGAAGAAAGACCCGCAAGGGUCGCUAGAGGACGAGCCUGCGGCCCAUCAGCUAGUUGGUGAGGUAAUGGCUCACCAAGGCUAAGACGGGUAGCUGGUCUGAGAGGAUGAUCAGUCACACUGGAACUGAGACACGGUCCAGACUCCUACGGGAGGCAGCAGUGGGGAAUAUUGCGCAAUGGGCGAAAGCCUGACGCAGCCACGCCGCGUGAGCGAUGAAGGCCUUCGGGUCGUAAAGCUCUGUGGGGAGAGACGAAGAAAGCCUGUGAAGAGCGGGCCUUGACGGUAUCUCCUUAGCAAGCACCGGCUAACUCCGUG